UCCUUCGCCAGGGACAACGAGCCCCAGCUUAAAACCCAAAGGACUUGGCGGUGCUUUAGACCCCCCUAGAGGAGCCUGUUCUAGAACCGAUAUUCCCCGUUCAACCUCACCCCUUCUUGUUUUAUUCCGCCUAUAUACCGCCGUCGUCAGCUUACCCUGUGAAGGUUUAAUAGUAAGCAAAAUUGGCAAAGCCUAAAACGUCAGGUCAAGGUGUAGCGUAUGAAGAGGAAAGAAAUGGGCUACAUUUGCUGACCCAGCAAACACGAACGAUGCCCUGAAAUAAGCAUUUAAAGGAGGAUUUAGCAGUAAGGGGGGAAUAGAGCGUCCCCCCUGAAGUUGGCCCUGAAGCGCG
rnacentral:rRNA from 1 species